GUUCUUUAAAUGAGGACUAGUAUGAAUGGCACCACGAAGGUUAUACUGUCUCCUUUCUUUAAUCAGUGAAACUAAUCUCUCCGUGAAGAAGCGGGGAUAUAAUUAUAAGACGAGAAGACCCUAUGGAGCUUUAAACGUGAGUAACAAUUGCCCGCCAUAAUAUUUUUCCCGGAAACUAACCGCAAUACUUAGGCAUCUUGAUUACAAGUUUUAGGUUGGGGUGACCGCGGAGCAGAAAAUAACCUCCGCAGUGAAUGGAACUUACUUCCUAAACCCAGGGCUACGACCCUAAGCAUCAAUAAAUUGACACUAAUUGACCCAAUAUUUUUGAUCAAUGAACCAAGUUACCCUAGGGAUAACAGCGCAAUCCACUUCAAGAGCCCCUAUCGACAAGUGG
rnacentral:rRNA from 1 species